AGAGUUUGAUCAUGGCUCAGAACGAACGUUGGCGGCGUGGAUUAGGCAUGCAAGUCGAACGAGAAAGCAUCCUUCGGGGUGUGAGUAAAGUGGCGAACUGGUGAGUAACAGGUGGGCAACGUGCCCCCCCGUGGGGAAUAACUCCUGGAAACAGGGGCUAAUGCCGCAUGUGGCUCGAAGAACAUAGGUUUUUCGGGUUAAAGAUGCACUUCGGUGUGUCGCGAGGGGAUCGGCCCGCUCCCGAUUAGCUAGUUGGUAAGGUAACGGCUUACCAAGGCUACGAUCGGUAGGUGGCCUGAGAGGGUGGUCACUCACACUGGGACUGAGAUACGGCCCAGACUCCUACGGGAGGCAGCAGUCUAGGAGCUUCCACAAUGGACGAAAGUCUGAUGGAGCGACGCCGCGUGCGGGAUCGAAGGCCGUGAGGUCGUAAACCGCUGUCAGCAGGAAAGAAUGCCCGGAUGGUGAAUUCGGGAGAGACGGUACCUGCAGAGGAAGCCCCGGCUAACUCCGUGCAGCAGCCGCGGUAAUACGGGGGGGGCUAACGUUGUUCGGAAUUACUGGGCGUAAAGCGUGCGUAGGCGGCUCAGCAAGUCUGGUGUGAAAUCUCGCCGCUCAACGGCGAAACUGCAUUGGAAACUGUUGAGAUCGGAGGAUGGGAGAGGCAGGUGGAAUUCCUGGUGGAGCGGUGGAAUGCGUAGAUAUCAGGAAGAACACUCGUGGCGAAGGCGGCCUGCUGGCCCACUCCUGACGCUGAGGCACGAAAGCCAGGGGAGCGAACGGGAUUAGAUACCCCGGUAGUCCUGGCCGUAAACGGUGAACACUAGGUGUCGGGGGUAUCGACCCCCUCGGUGCCGGAGCUAACGCAUUAAGUGUUCCGCCUGGGGAGUACGACCGCAAGGUUGAAACUCAAAGGAAUUGACGGGUGCCCGCACAAGCGGUGGAGUAUGUGGCUUAAUUCGACGCAACGCGAAGAACCUUACCAGGGCUUAAACCGCAGGGUAAACCCUCCGAAAGGAGGGCUGCUUCGGCAAUCCUGUAGAGGUGCUGCAUGGCCGUCGUCAGCUCGUGUCGUGAGAUGUUGGGUUAAGUCCCGCAACGAGCGCGACCCUUGCCUUUAGUUACCAGCGUGUAAUGACGGGGACUCUAGAGGGACUGCCGCCGUAAGGCGGAGGAAGGUGGGGACGACGUCAGGUCAUCAUGGCCCUUAUGUCCUGGGCUGCACACGUACUACAAUGGCCGGUACAACGGGCUGCCACACCGCGAGGUGGAGCUAAUCCCUUAAAGCCGGCCCCAGUUCGGAUUGCAGUCUGCAACUCGACUGUAUGAAGGCGGAAUCGCUAGUAAUCGCGGAUCAGCAUGCCGCGGUGAAUACGUUCCCGGGCGUUGUACACACUGCCCGUCAAACCACGAAAGUCAGCUGUACCGGAAGUCGCCGAGCUAACCGCAAGGACGCAGGCGCCCAUGGUAUGACUGGUAAUUGGGGUUAAGUCGUAACAAGGUA
rnacentral:rRNA from 1 species